CCUAAACUUGCCGCUAUUUUUUACUCAACUUAUACAUGCAAGCAUCUACAUACCAGUGAGAAUGCCCCACCCAUCUAAAAGACGAACGGAGCCGGUAUCAGGCACAAUUCUUUAGCCAAUGACACCUUGCUCUGCCACACCCCUACGGGUUUACAGCAGUAAUUAAUAUUAAACAUAAGCGAAAGCUUGAUUUAGUUACAGUAAUAUUAGGGUCGGUAAAUUUCGUGCCAGCCACCGCGGUUAUACGAAAGACCCAAAAUAAUGGCCCCCGGCGUAAAGCGUGGCUAGAGCAUAUUAAACUUAAGGACGAACACCUUCUCCGCUGUGAAACGCUUAAGAAGUUAAGA
rnacentral:rRNA from 1 species